CACUUAACAAGACCUGCUGUCUCACGGGGGGACUUGCAUCUUGGGGUCCUUCUGCGCCUGCCCCCCCUCUUUCUACGACGGAACUGUGAACACAGCACCCACAAACAGCACUGUGGCUCUAUACCGCACGGGAGCUGGCUGCCCAGGAAAUGUUCCCUGUGUCGGUGCUGGCAGGGCCAAGUCCACUGCUUUCCGCCAGCCGUUCCUUCAAGACUGCGGGGCUCGUGUGAUGGGACGAUCGCUUCACGGCUUUCCGAGAGUUCGGGUCCGGCACUCCCGGGAUGGACUGCUUU